GUGCCAGCAGCCGCGGUAAUACGUAGGAGGCGAGCGUUGUCCGGAAUCACUGGGCGUAAAGCGCGUGUAGGCGGAUCGCUAAGUCUGUCGUGAAAGCGCCUGGCUCAACUGGGCGAGGUCGAUGGAAACUAGCGGACUAGAGGCCGGUAGAGGGGGGUGGAAUUCCGGGUGUAGUGGUGAAAUGCGUAGAGAUCCGGAGGAACACCAGUGGCGCAGGCGGCCCCCUGGGCCGCGCCUGACGCUGAGACGCGAAAGCGCGGGGAGCGAACGGGAUUAGAUACCCCCGUAGUCC
rnacentral:rRNA from 1 species